rnacentral:rRNA from 1 species
CAGUUAUCGUUUAUUUGAUAGUACCUCACUACUUGGAUACCUGUGGUAAUUCUAGAGCUAAUACAUGCUAAAAACCUCGACUUCGGAAGGGGUGUAUUUAUUAGAUAAAAAACCAAUGCCCUUCGGGGCUCCUUGGUGAUUCAUAAUAACUUAACGAAUCGCAUGGCCUUGCGCCGGCGAUGGUUCAUUCAAAUUUCUGCCCUAUCAACUUUCGAUGGUAGGAUAGUGGCCUACCAUGGUUUCUACGGGUAACGGGGAAUUAGGGUUCUAUUCCGGAGAGGGAGCCUGAGAAACGGCUACCACAUCCAAGGAAGGCAGCAGGCGCGCAAAUUACCCAAUCCCGACACGGGGAGGUAGUGACAAUAAAUACUGAUACAGGGCUCUUUUGGGUCUUGUAAUUGGAAUGAGUACAAUUUAAAUCCCUUAACGAGGAACAAUUGGAGGGCAAGUCUGGUGCCAGCAGCCGCGGUAAUUCCAGCUCCAAUAGCGUAUAUUAAAGUUGUUGCAGUUAAAAAGCUCGUAGUUGAAACUUGGGCCUGGCUGACCGGUCCGCCUCACCGCGUGCACUGGUUCGGCCGGGCCUUUCCUUCUGGGGAGCCGCAUGGCCUUCAUUGGUCGUGUUGGGGAACCAGGACUUUUACUUUGAAAAAAUUAGAGUGUUCAAAGCAGGCCUAUGCUCGAAUACAUUAGCAUGGAAUAAUAGAAUAGGACGUGUGGUUCUAUUUUGUUGGUUUCUAGGACCGCCGUAAUGA